rnacentral:rRNA from 1 species
GGGCGGUAUCGGAUUACUGGGCGUAAGCGCGCGUAGGCGGUUUAUUAAGUCAGAUGUGAAAUCCCCGGGCUCAACCUGGGAAUGGCAUUUGAGACUGGCAGGCUAGAGUGUGGUAGAGGUGAGUGGAAUUUCAGGUGUAGCGGUGAAAUGCGUAGAGAUCUGAAGGAACAUCAGUGGCGAAGGCGACUCACUGGGCCAUUACUGACGCUGAGGUGCGAAAGCGUGGGUAGCAAACAGGAUUAGAUACCCUGGUAGUCCACGCCCUAAACGAUGUCAACUAGGUGUAUGGAGAAUUUAUUCUUUGUGUAUCGAAGCUAACGCGAUAAGUUGACCGCCUGGGGAGUACGGUCGCAAGACUAAAACUCAAAUGAAUUGACGGGGGCCCGCACAAGCGGUGGAGCAUGUGGUUUAAUUCGAUGCAACGCGAAGAACCUUACCUGGCCUUGACAUGUACGGAAGAUUGAAGAGAUUCGAUUGUGCCUUCGGGAACCGUAACACAGGUGCUGCAUGGCUGUCGUCAGCUCGUGUCGUGAGAUGUUGGGUUAAGUCCCGCAACGAGCGCAACCC